AGGUUAUGGUGCGGACACCGCUUCAACAAAUCUUUAAACCUCUCCCAUGUCUCAAAUAAAGACUUAGAAUCUAUCUGUGCAAAUAAGGUAAUCUCCUGUUGCAGCUU